GUGGGGAAUAUUGGACAAUGGGCGAAAGCCUGAUCCAGCCAUGCCGCGUGUGUGAAGAAGGUCUUCGGAUUGUAAAGCACUUUAAGUUGGGAGGAAGGGCAGUAAGUUAAUACCUUGCUGUUUUGACGUUACCGACAGAAUAAGCACCGGCUAACUUCGUGCCAGCAGCCGCGGUAAUACGAAGGGUGCAAGCGUUAAUCGGAAUUACUGGGCGUAAAGCGCGCGUAGGUGGUUUUGUAAGUUGGAGGUGAAAUCCCCGGGCUCAACCUGUGAACUGCCUCCAAAACUGCAUGACUAGAGUACGGUAGAGGGUAGUGGAAUUUCCUGUGUAGCGGUGAAAUGCGUAGAUAUAGGAAGGAACACCAGUGGCGAAGGCGACUACCUGGACUGAUACUGACACUGAGGUGCGAAAGCGUGGGGAGCAAACAGGAUUAGAUACCCCUGUAGUCC
rnacentral:rRNA from 1 species